rnacentral:rRNA from 1 species
GACAGAGGGUGCAAACGUUGUUCGGAAUUACUGGGCGUAAAGCGCGCGUAGGCGGUUCGUUAAGUCGGAUGUGAAAGCCCUGGGCUUAACCCAGGAAGUGCAUUCGAAACUCACGAGCUUGAGUCCCGGAGAGGAAGGCGGAAUUCUCGGUGUAGAGGUGAAAUUCGUAGAUAUCGAGAGGAACAUCUGUGGCGAAGGCGGCCUUCUGGACGGUGACUGACGCUGAGACGCGAAAGCGUGGGGAGCAAACAGG